GAUUCAAUGGUGUAGAGGUAUCAUGGGCGCUUGCCAUGCGCCCGACCCGGGUUCGAUUCCCGGUUGAAUCA
rnacentral:tRNA from 1 species